rnacentral:ncRNA from 1 species
ACUUUCGCGCUGAAUUUAGGUUCGUGCAGGGCGUUUUUCCUGUACGAUUAAAAGGGAAUCCGGUGCAAAUCCGGAGCUGUUCCCGCAACUGUAAGUUUGUGCCCAGAUAAAGGCACCCCGAAGGGAUGUUGUUUUCUUCGAUACCACUGUCCGUAAAGCGGAUGGGAAGGUAAAGCAACAUAAAGCGAGCCAGGAGACCUGCCCAAUUCAAACAAACAAU